CCCGCCCAGGUCAACUGGGCCACAUCACAGCACAUGGCCCUCAGGGAAGGUCAGGACCACACUCACAAUGACCGUUUGUCAGAACAGCUCAGAAUCGGGCUGGGGUUGACCUGACACACCUGGGCUCUGGUGCAGGAAGGGACUUUGUCUGCGUGUCCCCAGCCUGCGGGAGUGUGGGACACGUUGCUGUGUUCUCGGCCCCACCUGUGCACUCUGUCACGCAGCCGACUAGCACUGUCCUAAAGAUGGAGCGGCAUCCACUCCCACCCACGUGCUGAGUGGUGCCCGGCGCAGAGGGGCGGCUGGGCAGGCAGAGGUCAGUUUCUGAUUCUCCCUCCUCAAAGAUGUCCGGUCCAGCCAGCAGGACUGGCAGCACCACGGGAAGGCCACACGUUUUAGGCCGACAUGAACUUCGUUGACACGACCCAGGAGCACGACCUAACCCUGCCGAGGAGGGACGCCUUUGGAAGGAGGGGCAAAACAGGUGUGUAAGGACUCGCAUGGCUCGU
rnacentral:lncRNA from 1 species